AACGAACGCUGGCGGCAGGCCUAACACAUGCAAGUCGAGCGCCCCGCAAGGGGAGCGGCAGACGGGUGAGUAACGCGUGGGAACGUACCCUUUGCUACGGAAUAGCUCCGGGAAACUGGAAUUAAUACCGUAUGUGCCCUACGGGGGAAAGAUUUAUCGGCAAAGGAUCGGCCCGCGUUGGAGUAGCUAGUUGGUGGGGUAAUGGCCUACCAAGGCGACGAUCCAUAGCUGGUCUGAGAGGAUGAUCAGCCACAUUGGGACUGAGACACGGCCCAAACUCCUGCGGGAGGCAGCAGUGGGGAAUAUUGGACAAUGGGCGCAAGCCUGAUCCAGCCAUGCCGCGUGAGUGAUGAAGGCCUUAGGGUUGUAAAGCUCUUUCACCGGAGAAGAUAAUGACGGUAUCCGGAGAAGAAGCCCCGGCUAACUUCGUGCCAGCCGCCGCUGUAAGAC
rnacentral:rRNA from 1 species